rnacentral:rRNA from 1 species
UACGAAGGGGGCUAGCGUUGCUCGGAAUCACUGGGCGUAAAGGGCGCGUAGGCGGCCUUCUAAGUCGAACGUGAAAUCCCCGGGCUCAACCCGGGAACUGCGUCCGAGACUGGAAGGCUUGAAUCCGGGAGAGGGAUGUGGAAUUCCAGGUGUAGCGGUGAAAUGCGUAGAUAUCUGGAGGAACAUCGGUGGCGAAGGCGGCAUCCUGGACCGGUAUUGACGCUGAGGCGCGAAAGCCAGGGGAGCAAACGGG